UACGGGGGGGGCAAGCGUUGUUCGGAAUUACUGGGCGUAAAGGGCUCGUAGGUGGCCAACUAAGUCGGACGUGAAAUCCCUCGGCUUAACCGGGGAACUGCGUCCGAUACUGGUUGGCUUGAGUUUGGGAGAGGGAUGCGGAAUUCCAGGUGUAGCGGUGAAAUGCGUAGAUAUCAGGAGGAACACCGGUGGCGAAGGCGGCUAUCUGGACAGAGUCUGACGCUGAGGCGCGAAAGCUAGGGGAGCAAACAGG
rnacentral:rRNA from 1 species